rnacentral:rRNA from 1 species
UACGUAGGGGGCAAGCGUUAUCCGGAUUUACUGGGUGUAAAGGGAGCGCAGACGGUAAUGCAAGUCAGAUGUGAAAGGCAUGGGCUUAACCUGUGGACUGCAUUUGAAACUGUAAUACUUGAGUGCCGGAGAGGUAAGCGGAAUUCCUAGUGUAGCGGUGAAAUGCGUAGAUAUUAGGAGGAACACCAGUGGCGAAGGCGGCUUACUGGACGGUAACUGACGUUGAGGCUCGAAAGCGUGGGGAGCAAAC